AGAAAAUAAGAAACUGAACUGAACUAAACAGAUUGGAGCUGAACUGAACUGAAAUUAAGCUGAAGAGAACAGGUCCUAAGUCACCUGCCACGUGUUGCGUUAUCAUUCGUCCAAAAAAUAUUCUCAGUUUUUUUUACAAAUAUUGAUUCAACGAAAAAAAAAAAAAAAACAUUUUCCCCUUUCUUUUUGUUCCUCCUCCCAUUACCUGCCACAAUUUCAAGUCAAAUCCAGGCUGCCUCCUUUCCCACCCAACUUCCCUUAUCCUGCCACCUUCUCUCCCCGCCCCCCCACUUCCCUUUUGGGCAACCUCCCACACCCUGCCCCUUUCUCAUUCCCUCUCUGUCAUCUUUCCACCACCAACCACCCAUCCAUCAAAGAUGGCUUAAAGAUCGGAUUAUUCAAAUCAAAUUUGGAAGGAUGGUGGGUGAGUGGGUGGUCGAUGGUAGAAAGAUGAUAUCUAAAUUCAUUACUCAGACACCAAGUAUUAGUUCUAAGUUCUACUUCAAAACACGAAGUCACUAAAAAAAAUCUUUAAAAAUCUUGAAUUUUAAAACACAUCAAACAGAGGGAAAAAAUCGUAAAUCCUAACAUCUUAUGCGGCUUGUUUCUUCAACUUAACAAGCUCAUGCCCUAAAUAAGUAACUUUCUGCAGAAAUCAAAACAGGAAAGAUGAAUCUACACCAUGAUAGAGUAUGAAAAAAAAGGUAAAACGGAGGAUAUGUCAUUUUAAGAAUGGCAAUUGUUGUCUUCAAAUACGAACAACAAAAAAGGAAGUUUUAAACUAACACUUUUAAUAUAGAGUUCAAUCCAACAUGUAGUUAAACAAGACAACAAGAGCACAAGCAUGCUAAUUAUUUGAGUUAAGCACACAAUCAGGUACUCAAUUCUUUAAAAUUUCACCUUUUAGGUACUCAAUUAUUUUUACUUUGCUUUUGGGUAGGGCUGGCAAAAGGUGACCCGACCCGACAACCCGACCCGAACCCAACCCGAAAUAAAUGGGUUUUGAUAGAGAUUUUCAACCCGUUUAUGUAAUUGGGUCAACCCGAACCCGACCUGAAGUUAAAUGGGUCGGGUUCAGGUUGAAAAUCCCAACCCGAAACCAACCCGCAUAAACCCGUUUAUUUAAUUGGGUCGGUUUCAGGUCGGGUCAACCCGAACCCAACCCGCUUAACUUAAAACCCUAAUUUUAAAAUAUGGGCCAAGCCCAAAUUAUCUAACCCUAAGCUAAUUUCCUCUUUCUCUCGCCGCUUUCUUUCAGACUUUCACUCAAACUCUCUCUCUUCUCAGUUUCUCUCUCUUUUCUCUCUCUAACUCUUGAAGAUUGAAAUAAAAAUUCUUGAACCUUGAAGAUUGAAGCUUCAUCUCAAACAUUCUGAAGAUGGCUAAUAGCCCUAAUCCUGAUGAACCCAUUGAUCUUCCAGAUUCUGAUUCAGAUGAUGAAGUUUCUGAUUCUCAUCAAACGAAAUCAAAGAAGAAAACCUCUAAUGUCACCUCGCUGAAUAAGCCUGGAAUUCAUUUCAAGCGCCAACGAAACUGUUAUUUUGGACAUGUAUUUGGUUUUCUAGUUGAACUUUUAUUUGCCUACUUGGAAGUAUUUUGGACAUGUAACUCUUGAAUUAUGUUGUUAAGUUAUGUUUGCUUGAAUUAUGUGUUGAAUUUGAA